CCUACGGGGGGCAGCAGUGGGGAAUAUUGGGCAAUGGGCGAAAGCCUGACCCAGCAACGCCGCGUGAAGGAAGAAGGCUUUCGGGUUGUAAACUUCUUUUGACAGGGAAGAGCAGAAGACGGUACCUGUCGAAUAAGCCACGGCUAACUACGUGCCAGCAGCCGCGGUAAUACGUAGGUGGCAAGCGUUGUCCGGAUGUACUGGGUGUAAAGGGCGUGUAGCCGGGCUGACAAGUCAGAUGUGAAAGCCGGGGGCUCAACCCCCGAACUGCAUUUGAAACUGUUGGUCUUGAGUAUAGGAGAGGCAGGCGGAAUUCCUGGUGUAGCGGUGAAAUGCGUAGAUAUUAGGAGGAACACCAGUGGCGAAGGCGGUCUGCUGGACAGCAACUGACGGUGAGGCGCGAAAGCGUGGGGAGCAAACAGGAUUAGAUACCCCUGUAGUC
rnacentral:rRNA from 1 species